AGCGAACGCUGGCGGCAGGCCUAACACAUGCAAGUCGAACGGAUCCUUCGGGAUUAGUGGCGGACGGGUGAGUAACACGUGGGAACGUGCCCUUUGGUUCGGAACAACUCAGGGACACUUGAGCUAAUACCGGAUGUGCCCUUCGGGGGAAAGAUUUAUCGCCAUUGGAGCGGCCCGCGUCUGAUUAGCUAGUUGGUGAGGUAACGGCCCACCAAGGCGACGAUCAGUAGCUGGUCUGAGAGGAUGAUCAGCCACACUGGGACUGAGACACGGCCCAGACUCCUACGGGAGGCAGCAGUGGGGAAUCUUGCGCAAUGGGCGAAAGCCUGACGCAGCCAUGCCGCGUGAAUGAUGAAGGUCUUAGGAUUGUAAAAUUCUUUCAGCGGGGACGAUAAUGACGGUACCCGCAGAAGAAGCUCCGGCUAACUUCGUG
rnacentral:rRNA from 1 species